rnacentral:tRNA from 1 species
CGGGGUGUAGCGCAGCCCGGCAGCGCACCGCGCCUGGGACGCGGGGGUCGGAGGUUCAAGUCCUCCCACCCCGACCA